rnacentral:rRNA from 1 species
AUACGUAGGGGGCGAGCGUUGUCCGGAAUGAUUGGGCGUAAAGGGCGCGUAGGCGGCCCGGUAAGUCUGGAGUGAAAGUCCUGUUUUUAAGAUGGGAAUUGCUUUGGAUACUGUCGGGCUUGAGUGCAGGAGAGGCAAGUGGAAUUCCCAGUGUAGGGGUGAAAUGCGUAGAGAUUGGGAGGAACACCAGUGGCGAAGGCGACUUACUGGACUGUAACUGACGCUGAGGCGCGAAAGUGUGGGGAGCAAACAGGAUUAGAUACCCUGGUAGUCCACACUGUAAACGAUGAAUGCUAGGUGUAGGGGGUAUCGACCCCUUCUGUGCCGCAGUCAACACAAUAAGCAUUCCGCCUGGGGAGUACGGCCGCAAGGUUGAAACUCAAAGGAAUUGACGGGG